AAGAAUGGCGUAAAAUGGAGGCUACAGUGGCACUGCUCUGACUUUCUCCACGAAGAAGCAACGCAAAAGCCCCCAAUAUAAAUUGCGUUGUGAUUGUGAAGCAAGCAAACACAAACAACAAUCCCAUAGAUUUGUCGAUAUGGGCGAUGGAAUAUCGACAAAACUUCCGAUUCCGGGAAAGCGAAACAUUCUCAUCACUAGCGCCUUGCCUUAUGUCAACAACGUCCCUCAUCUCGGCAACAUCAUCGGCAGUGUUUUGAGUGCUGAUGUGUUCGCACGGUACUGCCGACUUCGAAGU